rnacentral:lncRNA from 1 species
GCAGGCGGGCGACUCCAGUGAGCCCGCAGCUAAAAAAAGAUCGAGUGAAGCUCGGCCACAUUCUCGAACUCCCCCAGGACACAAGCAUAUCCGAACUCCCCCUCGAGCUCGUAGGUAGAGAAGUUCGGACCGCAGAGUUUGGUGGAGCUCUCCCCCAGAAAGAUUCCACAGCUACGCCCCUCUCAAUGCUCCAAAAACUCAAGUGCUGAUGGAGAUCAGGGAGCAGCUGCCAAGGCC